GUGCCAGCAGCCGCGGUAAUACAGAGAUGGCAAGCGUUGUUCGGAAUCACUGGGCAUAAAGGGCACGUAGGCGGGUUGGUAAGUCAGGUGUGAAAUCCCUCGGCUCAACCGAGGAACUGCGCCUGAAACUGUCGAUCUUGAGGGCAGGAGGGGAGAGUGGAACUCUUGGUGGAGCGGUGAAAUGCGUAGAUACCAAGAGGAACGCCGGUGGCGAAAGCGACUCUCUGGUCUGCUACUGACGCUGAGGUGCGAAAGCUAGGGGAGCAAACAGGAUUAGAAACCCUCGUAGUCC
rnacentral:rRNA from 1 species